GCAAGUAUGGCCUAAUUGGCUAAGGCAUCUGGUUGCCAAUCAGAAGAUUGUGAGUUCGAACCUCACUACUUGCU
rnacentral:tRNA from 1 species